rnacentral:misc_RNA from 1 species
UAUCAUUAAAUAUCAUAUUUGCUUUCUUAUAAGGUCCGUGGUCGGUCGCACUCCCCCUGAGCAGUCAAAAAUAGAAUGAUAAAAUGCCCGGAUUCCCUUGAAAAACAUAAACCAACAUGGCCGGCAAAGGAGCUUCUGCCCAGGUGUACUGUCGCGAGCACCCUGAUGCUCCCCUGGUUGAAGACUACCAUGCUGGGGACAUGAUCUGCCAGGAGUGUGGCCUGGUAGUGGGAGACCGAGUGAUAGAUGUUGGAUCUGAGUGGAGAACCUUCAGCAAUGACAAGAAUACAAAAGAUGCGUCUCGAGUUGGUGCAGCAGAGAACAGCCUUCUUGAUGGUGGUGACCUCUCCACGAUGAUCGCAGCCGUCCCCGGUGGAGGGAAGGACAUGGUGGACGAGUUUGGCAAACCCAUGUACAGGAACAGGAGAACGAUGAACAGUUCUGACCGAGCCCUGCUAAAUGCAUUCCGUGAGAUCAACCAGAUGGCAGACAGACUCAACCUGCCCAAGAUGAUAGCUGAUCGAGGCAACACACUAUUCAAGCAGGUGCAUGAGGGCAAGUCCUUGAAGGGCCGCAGCAAUGAUGCCAUUGCCUCAGCCUGUAUGUACAUAGCAUGUCGACAGGAAGGUGUGCCCAGAACAUUUAAGGAGAUCUGUGCUGUAUCUAAAAUAUCCAAGAAGGAAAUCGGACGGGUGUUCAAGCUGAUCCUGAAGACUCUGGAGACGAACGUGGAGCUCAUCACUACCGGGGACUUCAUGUCGCGGUUCUGCUCCAACCUACAGCUGCCCUCCUCCGUACAGAAGGGGGCGACUUACAUCGCACGCAAGGCUGUGGACAUGGACCUGGUGCCUGGCCGGAGCCCCAUCUCGGUGGCGGCAGCAGCCAUCUACAUGGCCUCACAGGCCUCCAGCGACAAGAAAUCUCAGAAGGAAAUCGGAGAUAUUGCUGGUGUGGCUGAGGUGACAAUCCGCCAGUCAUACAAGCUUAUGUACCCUAAAGCACAUCAACUGUUCCCAGAAGAUUUCAAGUUUGCAACACCCAUAGAACAGCUGCCCAUGCAGUGAGCUACAGCUGUUACUGCAGAGAUGCAGACCCAUAAAUACUGAGUCAUGUACAGGUAUAUGAACAGACAUGGAAACACACACAUGAAUACUGAGUCAUGUACAGGUAUAUGAACAGACAUGGAAACACACACAUGAAUACUGAGUCAUGUACAGGUAUAUGAACAGACAUGGAAACACACACAUGAACAGACACAUAAAUACUGAGUCAUGUACAGGUACAUGUAUAUGAACAGACACAUGACACACAAACUGACACAGACACAUGACACACAAACAGACACAUGCCACUCAAACAGACACAUGACACUCACACAGACACAUGACACAUAAAUAGACAUGUGAACAUACUUAAGAACAGCCACAGGCAAUUUAACAGACAUUUAAACAGCUACAGACACAUGCACAGACACACAUUGGAUACAAGCAGACAGUGGGUUUCACCAAAGUUUUAAGCGUCUGAGACCUGCAUCACUUAAGGCUGACACGCUAUGAUAUAACUGGAAUACUGUUAAAAGCGGCUUUAAACCCAACUCACUCACUACAAAGGAUGCAAUGUCACAAUGUCACAAUGUCUACAUGCAGUUCAUAUCACACCAGCCACAGAAACUUGUUUGGACAACAGAAUAAUGACCAUGGGGUGGAGCAGCAUUGUCCUGCUGCUGUAUCAUUUGUCCUCCAUGUGGGAGGCUAGGGACUGAAUGGAAUCAUGAUGUAAUAUGCCUCAGUUGGAGGAGUUGCAGCUCACAAUGGAACUGAAUGUAUUUCAUGCGUUGAUCAAGUACAUCAUUAAAACAUAUCCAGCUUCAUCAUCUACUGAAUGUUUCUUCUGUGUGGUGUAAGGCCCAUCAAGAUAUGGGGUAUGGUAUCCAAAAUAUUUUUACGGGCCAUCAAACUGUGGACUUAUGGCAUCUGAAUAGUCUAAGGGCCAUCAAUAUAUGAGGAUAUGGUAUCUGAAUGGUGUAAGGCCCAUCAAGAUAUGGGGUAUGGUAUCUGAAUGGUCUAAGGGCCAUCAAGAUAUGGGGUAUAGUAUCUGAAUGGUGUAAGGACUAUCAAGAUGUGGGAUAUGGUAUCUGAAUGGUCUAAGGCCCAUCAAGAUAUGUGGGUAUGGUAGCCUAGUGGUCUAAGGCCAUAAAGCUGUGGGAGUAUGGUAUCUGAAUGGUCUAAGGGUCAUCAAGCUAUGUAGAUAUGGUAUCUGAAUGGUCUAAGGGUCAUCAAGCUGUGUAGAUAUGGUAUCUGAAUGGUCUAAGGUCCAUCAAGCUGUCAAAUUAUGUUAUCUGAAUGGUCUAAGGGCCAUAGAUGUUGUAGCCAAGUGAUCGAAGGGCCCUCAAGCUGUGGAGGUAUUGUAGCCUAGUGGUCUGAGAUCAUUUAUGCAUGGAGAGGAUGGAGGGCAAUAAUUCACCCCAAUUAUAAGCCUUGGUAUGUCUGCACCACACCCAUGCAAGUGGAUUAGGAUCCUCACACAUUAUUGGUCCUGGUUACAGUCUUCAGCAACCUGUGCUUGUCAUAAGAGGUGACUAACAUGAUCAGCCUUGCUCCCUUGGUUUGAUGUCAUUGUAUCCCAGUUGCUGGAUCUAUGCUCAUAAUGUCAGUCACUGGAUUGUCUGGUCUAAAAUUGAUUAUUUACAGACUGCCAUCAUAUAGCUGGAAUAUUGCGGAGUGCAUUGAUAAAGUACCCAAGAAAUCAACAUUAUGAUGUGACUAAGACUUGAUGUUUGGUGUAUUUCCGUGGUAUGCCCGCUGUGUUGCUGCUUUGUGGCCACACUGGUUUGAUGAGCUGAAGUUUGCCACCUCUUUGUAAUGUUGCAGGUUCAAAAUCAUUUUACUUUAUUGAUGUUACUUUGGUUUUAGUUUUACAUGUGCAUGAUGUGUAUGAUGUAAGUCAGUCAUUGGGGAAGAUCUAUCAUGUCAUCCCUAUGUUGUAUUCUAUGUCCUAUGUAGUCCCAAUGCUGUGUCCUACAGCAACAUGUCACAUUGUGUUGUACAGCAACAUGUCACAUUGUGUUGUACUGCAACAUGUCACAUUGUGUUGUACUGCAACAUGUCACAUUGUGUUGUACUACAACAUGUCACAUUGUGUUUUACUGCAACAUGUCACAUUGUGUUGUACUGCAACAUGUCACAUUGUGUUGUACUGCAACAUGUCACAUUGUGUUGUACUGCAACAUGUCACAUUGUGUUUUACUGCAACAUGUCACAUUGUGUUGUACUGCAACAUGCUACAUUGUGUUGUACUGCAACAUGCUAUAUUGUGUUGUGCUGCAACAUGCUAUAUUGUGUUGUGCUGCAACAUGCUACAUUGUGUUGUACUGCAACAUGCUAUAUUGUGUUGUACUGCAACAUGCUAAAUUGUGUUGUACUGCAACAUGUCACAUUGUGUUGUACUGCAACAUGUCACAUUGUGUUGUACUGCAACAUGCUACAUUGUGUUGUACUGCAACAUGCUAUAUUGUGUUGUGCUGCAACAUGCUAUAUUGUGUUGUGCUGCAACAUGCUACAUUGUGUUGUACUGCAACAUGCUAUAUUGUGUUGUACUGCAACAUGCUAAAUUGUGUUGUACUGCGACAUGUCACAUUGUGUUGCACUGCGACAUGCUACAUUGUGUUGUACUGCAACAUGCUAUAUUGUGUUGUGCUGCAACAUGCUACAUUGUGUUGUACUGCAACAUGCUAAAUUGUGUUGUACUGCAGUAUGCUACAUUGUUGUACUGCAUCACACAUUGUGUGGUAAUUCAAAAUAUUACAUUGUGUUGUUCUACAAGAUACAUUGUGUUGUAUUGCAACAUGCUACAUUAUGUUGUACUGCAGUAUGUUACAUUGUUGUACUGCAACAUGUUACAUUGUUGUACUGCAUCACACAUUGUGUGGUACUUUAAAAUAUUACAUUGUGUUGUACUACAAGAUACAUUGUGUUGUACUGCAACUAUCCUGCAUGGUGGACAUGUUUUGUGACCACAUACUGCAAGGAUGGUAUUGUUGUACAUGUACAGAUAUGCUUUCCCUUUGCUUUGCAAGUCAUGUUGUAUUGUAUGUACUGUUUUCACAACAUCCGGUUCACUUUUCAGACAGGAUGUAAUAUCACAGCAAAUGGAAUACUGGUACUGUCCAGUCUGUGAGAAUAGCUUAAGUUCUUAUUUUAUUCUUCUGUUCUACUAAGACAUGCCAAUUCAAAACAUAGAUAUUUGAGUUGGUGAGUCACACAGCCUGGAAGAGGUCUAUCAGUUUUAGGGUAUCCUCCUCUUAUUUGUUACCUACUUCUUUACCCACAAGCAAAACAUACUGAUUGUCCAUGGAAUGUUGGAAGGAAAGUUCACGUGAUAUGUCGUAAAACAUGUAUUAUUCACGUACAUGAACAAAGCAAAAUAUGAACCUUUCUAAUUUUGUAUGAAUGUUUUUAUUGAUAUGUUUGUUGUUGUUACUGUAAAUAAUUGAAAUAAACUAUUUACGCUCAA